GUGAGGGGCAGAUGGCUGAGCAGGCAAUGCCUCUCAAUGACCUUGAUGGGGGCACCCAAGCCCACUGCCUCAUCCUGAGUUUUGCAGAUCCAGAAAUGUCAUCUGAUGAAUGAAAUCCUGAACUGACCAAGCUUUAAGAGGAAAAGGAUAAAUUGAUAAGGCAGGACAUCCUUUUUUCCCUACUUUUAAACUUGAACUGAAACAUUGGCCCUUUCUGCAUCUCCAGUCUCUGGUCUUCAAAAUGGGCUACACCGUGGGCCCUCUUGGGUCUCCAGCUUGCUGACUGCAGAUCUUGGGAUUUAUCAGCCUCCAUAACCAUGUGAGAGCACGGCAAGAAGGUGACCGUCCACAAGCCAGGAGGAAGGCCCUCACCAAGAACCAAAUUCUCUGUCACCAUGAUCUUGGACUUUCCACCCUCUAGAACUAUGAGAAAUCAAUGUCUGUUAUUUAAGUUUACAGUUACAGAAACCUAGGCUAACUAAGAGGAAGACCAAGCAAAAGAUGGUGUCUUCCUGGACUAGGGAAAAACAGACAGGUGUGGGUGUGUGUGUAUGUGUGUGUGUGUUUUGUUUUGUGUGUUUUUAUGUUUUAGAGCUAUAAUCACUGGAAUUUUAGUGUUUGAGCUUGGGAAAUGAGGAGGAGGCAUCAAAUGUAACUUCAAAGUUCCCAACUUAGGGUAGGAACUAAGAGAAUUGUGGUAUUAAGAUUGGGAGCACAAGAGAAGAAGAUUUUGUGGAGGACAUAAUGAGCUCACUUCAGUUUGAGG